GGAACUGCCCCGGAGCCCGAGGGGAGGGCGACCUCACUGAGGCUGCCGGCUCUGGAGGUGCCCCGGCGGCCGAAGCCGUGACAGUCGCGGGGACGGCGGGCCGGUUGUUUCAACAAGUAACUUAAAGACAAAAUGGAAAAACAAGGAGGUUUGUGCCUGAGAUCAUGUUGAUGUGAAACCAGGGAUGGCCACCUUGUGCCAGAUUCUUCAGAUGCAAACAGGCAGAGCUUCAGACUGAAAGUCAGCUCUUCCAAAAUGACCCGUCAGCAAACACUGCAGGAUUCCACUCCAGUGGGUGCCCUGGAGUCGACAACUCAGGGACUGAAGUGGAUAUCGGUGCCAGGGGCAGUGGGCGGGAAUGGGGAAUGAGACUUUCAUGGUUGUGGAAUUUUGGUUUUGCAAGAUGAAAAGUUCUAGGGAUGGUGGUGAUGGCUCCACGAGAAAGUGAAUAUAUCUGAUGCCUCAGAAACGUGCACUUAAAAUGGUGAUGAUGGUAAAGGGUAUG